rnacentral:rRNA from 1 species
GAUGAACGCUGGCGGCGUGCCUAAUACAUGCAAGUCGAGCGAAUGGAUUAAGAGCUUGCUCUUAUGAAGUUAGCGGCGGGCGGGUGAGUAACACGUGGGUAACCUGCCCAUAAGACUGGGAUAACUCCGGGAAACCGGGGCUAAUACCGGAUAACAUUUUGAACCGCAUGGUUCGAAAUUGAAAGGCGGCUUCGGCUGUCACCUAUGGAUGGACCCGCGUCGCAUUAGCUAGUUGGUGAGGUAACGGCUCACCAAGGCAACGAUGCGUAGCCGACCUGAGAGGGUGAUCGGCCACACUGGGACUGAGACACGGCCCAGACUCCUACGGGAGGCAGCAGUAGGGAAUCUUCCGCAAUGGACGAAAGUCUGACGGAGCAACGCCGCGUGAGUGAUGAAGGCUUUCGGGUCGUAAAACUCUGUUGUUAGGGAAGAACAAGUGCUAGUUGAAUGAGCUGGCACCUUGACGGUACCUAACCAGAAAGCCACGGCUAACUACGUGCCAGCAGCCGCAGUAA